GACUUGAGGACUGGUGACAUACAGGCAAGAUAUCCAGGAAAGCAGGGCUUAGUGUCAGAGGACAUGAAACCAUGGAAGAGUGUGCUUCCCAUUUUCCUGUAUCCUCCUCCCACCAUGCCAUAGAAGUGCC
rnacentral:lncRNA from 14 species